rnacentral:rRNA from 1 species
AAUGAACGCUGGCGGCGCGCCUAAUACAUGCAAGUCGAGCGAGAAGACGUAGCAAUACGUUUGUAAAGCGGCGAACGGGUGAGGAAUACAUGGGUAACCUACCCUCGAGUGGGGAAUAACUAGCCGAAAGGUUAGCUAAUACCGCGUACGCUCCUUGGACUUCGGUUCAGGGAGGAAAGCGAUACCGUGGGUAUCGCGCUCUUGGUUGGGCUCAUGUCCUAUCAGCUUGUUGGUGAGGUAACGGCUCACCAAGGCUUCGACGGGUAGCUGGUCUGAGAGGACGAUCAGCCACACUGGCACUGCGACACGGGCCAGACUCCUACGGGAGGCGGCAGUAAGGAAUAUUGCGCAAUGGGCGAAAGCCUGACGCAGCGACGCCGCGUGGGGGAUGAA